GGCGGCGUGGAUUAGGCAUGCAAGUCGAACGGUAUGGACCUUUCGGGGUUCAGAGAGUGGCGAACGGGUGAGUAACACGUAGGUAAUCUACCCUCAAGACGGGGACAACCCAGGGAAACUUGGGCUAAUACCGGAUGUGUGUAGUGGCUAUUUUUCUGAUUAUCAUUAUUUACGUAAGUGAGUAAUAAUAAGAAGGGAAAGUGGUUAUUACAUAAAAGGUGGCGUAAGCUGCCGCUUGGGGAUGAGCCUGCGUCCUAUUAGUUAGUUGGUGAGGUAACGGCUUACCAAGGCGAUGAUAGGUAGGCGGCCUUAACGGGUGGUCGCCCACACUGGGAUUGAGAUACGGCCCAGACUCCUACGGGAGGCAGCAGUCGAGAAUAGUCUACAAUGGACGGAAGUCUGAUAGUGCGACGCCGCGUGAACGAAGAAUCCCUUCGGGGUGUAAAGUUCUUUUAUACGUGAGCAGUGUCCUUUAUAUUAAUAGUAUAAGGGGAGAGAUAUUAGCGUAUGAAUAAGCAACGGCUAACUCCGUG
rnacentral:rRNA from 1 species